CAGUGGGGGGCAAAAAAACUAACUGGCUUCAAGACUGAGCUUGAUAAGUUUAUGGAGGGGAUGGUAUGCUGGGACUGCCAACAAUGGCAUGUGGCCAAUCUGCAACUGCCAGGAAACAAAA